AAUCAACGCUGGCGGCGCGCUUAACACAUGCAAGUCGAACGAGAAAGUUCCCUUCGGGGAGCGAGUAAAGUGGCGGACGGGUGAGUAACACGUGGGUAAUCUGCCCUUGAGUGGGGAAUAACUCUGGGAAACCGGAACUAAUACCGCAUACGAUCCUUCGGGAUGAAAGCUUUAUGCGCUCAAGGAUGAGCCCGCGGUCGAUUAGCUAGUUGGUGGGGUAAUGGCUCACCAAGGCUACGAUCGAUAGCCGGCCUGAGAGGGCACACGGCCACACUGGCACUGAGACACGGGCCCAGACUCCUACGGGGAGGCAGCAGUGGGGAAUCUUGGUCAAUGGGGGAAACCCUGAACCAGCGACGCCGCGUGACCGAUGAAGGCCCUCGGGUCGUAAAGGUCUUUCGACGGGGACUAUAAUGAAGGUACCCCGUAAAAGCAGGAGCGGCUAACUAUGUGCCAGCAGCCGCGGUAAUACAUAGGCUCCAAGCGUUGUUCGGAAUUACUGGGCGUAAAGCGAGUGUAGGCUGUCCGCCAAGUCGAUUGUGAAAUCUCCCGGCUUAACUGGGAGGGUGCGGUCGAAACUGGCUGACUAGAGUUCGGGAGAGGAGAGUGGAAUUCCUGGUGUAGCGGUGAAAUGCGUAGAUAUCAGGAGGAACACCGGCGGUGAAGACGGCUCUCUGGACCGAUACUGACGCUGAGACUCGAAAGCGUGGGGAGCAAACAGGAUUAGAUACCCU
rnacentral:rRNA from 1 species